GGCCAGAGCAGGCCUAAACGCCAGAUGAAGACUCCCUUCCAACUUGAAGUUCUCGAAAAGGCCUAUGCUUUGGAGACAUACCCAUCAGAGGCUAUGCGGGCAGAAUUAUCACAGAAGUUAGGUCUUUCUGAUAGGCAAUUGCAGAUGUGGUUUUGUCACAGGAGAUUAAAGGACAAAAAGGAGACUCCUGCUAAGAAACCCCGUAAGGCAGUGCCUUUGAUGGAGUCUCCUGUGGAGGAGAUGAGGGCAGUGGGGACUGAGCCUGGAAGUGAUUA
rnacentral:misc_RNA from 1 species